rnacentral:rRNA from 1 species
GUCUACAGCAAUACCACCUUGAAUGCACCCAAUCUUGUCUAGUCUCAGAAGCUAAACAGGGUCAACCUGUUUAGUACUUGGAUGGGAAAAAGAUCUUCAGAAGAGACUGCCCAAAGACAAACAGUUUGCAGACA